rnacentral:lncRNA from 1 species
GUGCGAACCAAACACAAAUAUUAUAAACAGCAACAAAGUCAAGCACUGAGUAGCAUAUGACCGAGCAUAAAUUAUGGCGGUGGACAAACAUGUUUACCGACUCAAAAUGCUCUCCUAAGUUUAGAAAGUGAUGCAACAGCAGUCGGUAAAAAUCAAUUUAAAAAGACAGUUGCAACAAUUCACACUAAAUAACUCGUAAGAAAUAGUCUAAGCUAGGACACAGAUUAACGAUCUGAGAUAUUAAAGCCCGGGAUGACGAAGUAUGAAAAUAAAUGAAAGACGAAAACAUUCCAAAAAGACCACACCAGACCAUAAAGCAUAAAACAGUCCAUUAAUGGCAUUGGGCUGUAACUGGUUUUUGAUCGGUUUGUUUCUUAUAAACAAAAAGACUUACACGUACAGUAUCAAGAUUGUUUUAAUUGUCCAAUGUAUUAAUGAUUCCCUAACCGAAAAUAAACG